UGCCAGCCGCCGCGGUAAUACGGAGGGUGCAAGCGUUAAUCGGAAUUACUGGGCGUAAAGCGCGCGUAGGCGGAUUGGAAAGUUGGGGGUGAAAUCCCGGGGCUCAACCCCGGAACUGCCUCCAAAACUGCCAGUCUAGAGUCCGAGAGAGGGAAGUGGAAUUUCUGGUGUAGGAGUGAAAUCCGUAGAUCAGAAGGAACACCGAUUGCGAAGGCGAUCUACUGGAACAUUAUUGACGCUGAGACGCGAAAGCGUGGGGAGCAAACAGGAUUAGAUA
rnacentral:rRNA from 1 species